rnacentral:rRNA from 1 species
GAUGAACGCUGGCGGCGUGCCUAAUACAUGCAAGUCGAGCGAAUGGAUUAAGAGCUUGCUCUUAUGAAGUUAGCGGCGGACGGGUGAGUAACACGUGGGUAACCUGCCCAUAAGACUGGGAUAACUCCGGGAAACCGGGGCUAAUACCGGAUAACAUUUUGAACCGCAUGGUUCGAAAUUGAAAGGCGGCUUCGGCUGUCACUUAUGGAUGGACCCGCGUCGCAUUAGCUAGUUGGUGAGGUAACGGCUCACCAAGGCAACGAUGCGUAGCCGACCGGAGAGGGUGAUCGGCCACACUGGGACUGAGACACGGCCCAGACUCCUACGGGAGGCAGCAGUAGGGAAUCUUCCGCAAUGGACGAAAGUCUGACGGAGCAACGCCGCGUGAGUGAUGAAGGCUUUCGGGUCGUAAAACUCUGUUGUUAGGGAAGAACAAGUGCUAGUUGAAUAAGCUGACACCUUGACGGUACCUAACCAGAAAACCACGGCUAACUACGUGCCAGCAGCCGCAGUAA